AGAAAGGAGGAGGAGGAGAAAGGAGGAGGAGGAGAAAGGAGGAGGAGGAGAAAGGAGGAGGAGGAGAAAGGAGGAGGAGAAAGGAGGAGAGGGAGAGGGAGGGGGAGAAGGGGAAGGAGAGGAAGGAGAGGAAGAAGAGGAAGAAGAAGAAAGUAGUAGUUGAAAUUGUUGUUUUGUAGCAUCUACAACUUAGUCCUGAUGAAAGAGAGCCCAGACUGACGGGCAGCUGGUGUGGGCAGCUCCAUCCCUGAGGCUUUCAGGAAAGAAGCAAGGAUCACAAGAAGCCUACCCAGCUGAACCCAGAAUGGAGGAGAGAGGGUGGAGUAUAACUGGCGGGCAGCCCCACAUUCCCUGGCACAGAAUAAUUCAAGUAGGCUGACAAGGAAAGCCACUCCUUAAUGUCACUCUUCUCUACCCAAAUUCCUUACUUUUACCCUGUUGGCCAGAACCCACUUUCACUUCCAUACUUACCUGCCCUCCUUCCUUUCCUGAAACCCCUUCUUCAGGCCAGUUAUGGUCUCUAUUUUCCCUAGGCUCAUCACGGAAUGUCUCAAGAAGAUCAGAUAGUGGGCAUGGGCUCAGCUUUCUGGAGCGCUCUUGCACGACUUCCUGACCUUCUCUCAAUAGAAAUCUGAGCCAUAGAGCUCUACUGAGUAAAGCAGGGGCCAGGAAAAGCCAAGGUCAAAGACCAUCGCAGGUGGCUUCCCUCUAGCCCAGGAACAGUGCCCUCUCCUAAGCUGCAUGGCUGGGCUCAUAAAAUCUCAUCCCCACCCCAGAAGUAAAGAUCCCAAGGUCAGGUUGAGUCAGCUGAGGAUGAGACAGCCCUGCCACCUUAGAUAUGAAGGCCAGCACCCUGGUCCCCUCACGGUGUGCACGACUGGCUGAAUCAGCCUCAGGAGGCCCUCUGUGAGGGCGGUAUCUAAUUUUGUGCUGUGUUGCAUAUUCAGUGUGUGCUUAGUUUUAAUAACAGUAAUGAAAAUAAAUAGAACCCAGGUCCCCCAGUGCUUGAUCCAGCCCUCUUUUCACCAGAUGGGCUCCUUCUGUCUUGCCUAUAAAAAAUGUCACUAAAAAUAUCUCUCUUUUGAGUCUCUACCUUGCUCCGUAGGAGGUGACCACAUUAGGACAGCCAAGAGGCAAUGUCGUAGCUCAGCCAAUGGCCAGCAUCCUCCCGUGAAGGCUGAGCCUCUUGGGCAUUUUUUGCCUGCCUGUGGGGCACAGUGAGAAGCUGGAAAAUACCUCCCAGGCAUCAAAUGCUAUGAGAUGCUGAGCUCAGAGAGAGCUGUAGCAAAUCCUGGGGCAGAGUGACUCCUCACAAACACCUUCUCCUACAAAAGAGGACACCUACAGUCCCAUCUCACAAGAUGCAUCUCCUGCAGUCUCUGUGGUGAGAAUCCAGGUCCAGGAGGUGUUGCAGCUCCACGCUCACUCAUUCAUCAAAGAACACUUGCCAUGUGCCCCCAGUGUGCUGGGCAUGGCCAACUGGGCAUGAGAGUCUUCCUAUCAUCAUCUCUCCUCAGACCCAUCCCAGGAAGCUUCAGGAAGGGCUGCUGAAGAAAGGAAAGGGUGGAAGGAGCCACUAACCAGGCUAGGUAGAGCCAGCAAAAUCGACCUGCACAGUCCACGCAGGACCACCUUCAUGACCACAUGCCUGGACCUCCACCCCUGCCACCUUUUCUUACCUUGGGGGCACUGUGAACAGGUUCUCACUAGGAGCACACACCAGCACUGCACAGGGCCCACUCCACCCUCCAAACCCCGGGCUGAGAAGGAGGCUGUAGGGGGAGACAAGAUUCUAUGGCUCUGCACGCCUGUCAGCAGGUGAAACCCAAGGAAACACCUGACAGGGAGCCCUGAGACCUUCAACACCUGGCCACGCUGAAGUGCUGGGAGCAGGCACCGGAGAAGAGCUGGGAGAGCCAAGAGAAGAUCAGAGUGUAUCUGCUAAAAAGGUGGGCCCCAUCCAAUCAGUUGAAGUCCUGACUGGAACAAAAGACUGACCUCCCUUGAGAAAGUGGGAAUUCUGCCAGCAGACAGCCUUCAGACUUGAACUGCAAUGUUGCCUCCUCCCUGGGUCUCCAGCCUGCCAGCCAACCCUGCAGAUUUUCGACUUGCCAGCCUCCAUAAUCGUUCUUGUCAAUGAGGUCGGCCAGCAGCUGCUUCAGCACAUCAGUGGCGUACUCCAGCUUGC
rnacentral:lncRNA from 10 species